AAAUUAAAUGGCUGCAGUAACUAUGACUGUAAAAAUGUAGCAUAAUAAUUCGCCACUUAAUUAGUGGAUAGUAUGAACGGUUUAACGAAAAUUCCACUGUCUUAUAUAAUAAAAAAAAAAUUUAAAUCAUAGUUAAGAUGUAUGUAAAACUGUAAGACGAAAAGACCCUAUAAAGCUUAACUAUAUUUCUUAAUAAUUAAUAAAAAAAAACUUAAAAAAAUUAUUUAUUAAGAUUUGGUAGUUUCAUUGGGGCGAUGAUCUCUAAAAAUAAACAGAGAUAAACCUAUAUAAUAAUAAAAUUUACUGUAUAAUUAAUAAAUUUAACAGUUACAAAGUAGGGUAUAAUGACCCAUUAAUUUUAUAAAAAGAAUUAAUGAUCAAUAAAUAAAAGCUACUUUAGGGAUAACAGGAUAAUAAUUUCUUAGAGACCCAAUCGAAGAAAAAGUUUAUCACCUCGAUGUUGAAUUAAGAUAACCUAAUGACGCAGC
rnacentral:rRNA from 1 species